CCGUGAGGCCGUGACCCAUCCGCCCAACCUUAGGCGUGUCCCACACCCGUGAGGCCGUGACCCAUCCGCCCAACCUUGACACAAUUCAAAAUUUUAAUCCAAUCGGGCAGGCGCAGCCACAUCGCCGAGAACCACCAUGCUCCCCGUCCCCGUCCCCGCACGACCGCGCCGGAUCUGCCGAUUUCUUCACGCUUGACCAAUGAAUCUUGGUGCGGAGUCAUUCAUGGAUCCCUUGUUCAGCUUUUGUUCCUAGCCAACUUUUCCCGAGAGCGUCCCAGAUCUGGGAUAGCUAGAGGAGGAUUCUCCUACCUCAAGCCAAGAUGGGGAGGAAUUUGGUGCUACAGAUUCAAGAUCUCAAGUUCCUGACGCCACGCCAGAUUUUCCAAUGUCCCAUUGACAACACCCACAAAGAGAGCCCUCAUCUGAAUCGCAGCGCACUCCAUCUCCGUGGCCUAAAAGAGCAAGUACUUCUGAACCUUUACUUGACCUGACCGCAGUACCACAUUACCAGAAAGGCGAAGUGCUUUGGAGAAGGCCAUGAUAAAUUACGAUAGGAAGUCUGAGUUCAUCGUUAAGCCGAAGUGUAUCAAGUGCAGCAUUCCAGGCCACAAAAACUUAGUGCCUUUCUAUUGUGAAGUUCUCUCCGUGUUGGAGUUCACUCGCUUUGAAUUGCUCGAUGGUCUGCUUAUACAUUUUUUUUGGAUGUCACUAAUUGGAUUUCCUUAUUAGAAUAUUAACAUUUA